UAGAUACCCUGGUAGUCCACGCCGUAAACGAUGAGUGCUAGGUGUUGGGUCCUUUCCGGGACUCAGUGCCGCAGCUAACGCAUUAAGCACUCCGCCUGGGGAGUACGACCGCAAGGUUGAAACCAAGAAUGAUCGGGGGCCCGCACAAGCGGUGGAGCAUGUGGUUUAAUUCGAAGCAACGCGAAGAACCUUACCAGGUCUUGACAUCCCUCUGACCGCUCUAGAGAUAGAGUUUUCCUUCGGGACAGAG
rnacentral:rRNA from 1 species